rnacentral:rRNA from 1 species
CACCCUAUAAAAGAGGUUGAUUUGAGGGUUGUGCCCUUGAGGCGUGGCUUCCGGAGCUAACGCGUUAAAUCGACCGCCUGGGGAGUACGGCCGCAAGGUUAAAACUCAAAUGAAUUGACGGGGGCCCGCACAAGCGGUGGAGCAUGUGGUUUAAUUCGAUGCAACGCGAAGAACCUUACCUACUCUUGACAUCCAGAGAACUUGGGGGAGAUGGAUUGGUGCCUUCGGGAACUCUGAGACAGGUGCUGCAUGGCANUCGUCAGCUCGUGUUGUGAAAUGUUGGGUUAAGUCCCGCAACGAGCGCAACCCUUAUCCUUUGUUGCCAGCGGUUCGGCCGGGAACUCAAAGGAGACUGCCAGUGAUAAACUGGAGGAAGGUGGGGAUGACGUCAAGUCAUCAUGGCCCUUACGAGUAGGGCUACACACGUGCUACAAUGGCGUAUACAAAGAGAAGCGACCUCGCGAGAGCAAGCGGACCUCAUAAAGUACGUCGUAGUCCGGAUUGGAGUCUGCAACUCGACUCCAUGAAGUCGGAAUCGCUAGUAAUCGUAGAUCAGAAUGCUACGGUGAAUACGUUCCCGGGCCUUGUACACACCGCCCGUCACACCAUGGGAGUGGGUUGCAAAAGAAGUAGGUUAGCUUAACCUUUGU